CACGUAGGCGGGCUGUCAAGUCGGCCGUGAAAGGCACGGGCUCAACCUGUGCAUGUCGGUCGAUACUGGCGGUCUGGAGUAUGGGAGAGGGAACUGGAAUCCCCGGUGUAGCGGUGAAAUGCGUAGAUAUCGGGAGGAACACCAGUGGCGAAGGCGGGUUCCUGGCCCAUGACUGACGCUGAGGUGCGAAAGCCGGGGAGCGAACG
rnacentral:rRNA from 1 species